rnacentral:rRNA from 1 species
GACGUAGGGCGCGAGCGUUGUCCGGAUUUAUUGGGCGUAAAGAGCUCGUAGGCGGCUUGUCGCGUCGACUGUGAAAUCCCGCGGCUCAACCGCGGUCGUGCAGUCGAUACGGGCAGGCUAGAGUUCGGUAGGGGAGACUGGAAUUCCUGGUGUAGCGGUGAAAUGCGCAGAUAUCAGGAGGAACACCGAUGGCGAAGGCAGGUCUCUGGGCCGAUACUGACGCUGAGGAGCGAAGACGUGGGGAGCGAACAGG